rnacentral:rRNA from 1 species
UCCUACGGGAGGCAGCAGUGGGGGAUAUUGCACAAUGGGGGAAACCCUGAUGCAGCGACGCCGCGUGAGCGACGAAGUAUUUCGGUAUGUAAAGCUCUAUCAGCAGGGAAGAAAAUGACGGUACCUGACUAAGAAGCCCCGGCUAACUACGUGCCAGCAGCCGCGGUAAUACGUAGGGAGCAAGCGUUGUCCGGAAUUACUGGGCGUAAAGGGCGCGUAGGUGGGCGCUUAAGUCAGGUGUGAAAACUCCGGGCUCAACCUGGAGACUGCACUUGAAACUGGGUGUCUUGAGGGCAGGAGAGGAA